rnacentral:rRNA from 1 species
UACGUAGGAGGCGAGCGUUGUCCGGAUUUACUGGGCGUAAAGCGCGUGUAGGCGGUUCGAUUAGUCUGCUGUGAAAGCUCCCCGCUUAACGAGGAGAGGUCGGUGGAUACUGUCGGACUUGGAGGACGGUAGAGGGGGGUGGAAUUCCCGGUGUAGUGGUGAAAUGGCGUAGAUAGUCGGGAGGAACACCGGGUGGCGAAGGCGGCAUCCUGGACCGAUACUGACGCUGAGGAGCGAAAGCCAGGGGAGCAAAGCGGG